rnacentral:tRNA from 1 species
GGAGUUAUAGUCAAUGAUGAUAUUUGAUUUGCAUUCAAAAGGUGCUUCUUUAGAAGCUAACUUCA